rnacentral:rRNA from 1 species
UGGGGAAUAUUGCGCAAUGGGCGAAAGCCUGACGCAGCCACGCCGCGUGAGCGAUGAAGGCCUUCGGGUCGUAAAGCUCUGUGGGGAGAGACGAAGAAAGCCUGUGAAGAGCAGGCCUUGACGGUAUCUCCUUAGCAAGCACCGGCUAACUCCGUGCCAGCAGCCGCGGUAAUACGGAGGGUGCAAACGUUGCUCGGAAUCAUUGGGCGUAAAGCGCACGUAGGCGGCGAAGCAAGUUGGGUGUGAAGCCCUGGGCUCAACCCAGGAAGUGCAUUCAAACUGCUUCGCUUGAAUCUCGGAGGGGGUCAGAGAAUUCCCGGUGUAGAGGUGAAAUUCGUAGAUAUCGGGAGGAAUACCAGUGGCGAAGGCGCUGACCUGGACGAAGAUUGACGCUGAGGUGCGAAAGCGCGGGGAGCAAACAGGAUUAGAUACCCUGGUAGUCCGCGCUGUAAACGAUGAGUGCUAGACGGUGGAGGUAUUCG